ensembl:lncRNA
CUUUGCUCCUGAUGACUUCAUGGGCUGGAAAAAUCUGAUUUGGGUCUUUAAAUCCCAGGGUCUCCAGUCCGCUGAAAUCUCCCCAGCCCCCCAGCUCUCUGCUUCUGCAGUCUCUGCCCCAGGCUGAGGGCAUCCGGGCGGCCCUGGCUACACCAAGGCCCCGUCUCAGCUCUGCAGUGAGCGCCUGACGGAGGAGCUGAGUGGUGGUGGGGCCCGGGCCCGUGGGGGACGAGGAGGUCAGAGGAGCAAAAGGGACAAAUAGAACAAGGGAGAGAAGCAACUUUGAUGCCCCUCCCCACCCGCCCCGGAGGAGGAGGUCCCAGAGAACAGGCCGCCCACCUCGAGGGCUGACCACCCUCGUCUUUCACACUGCUACGGUGCUCGUUGUUCGGAUCCGUGAGUCGACCAGAACCCCAGCAUCACUACCACACUGCAAUUUGCUUCUGCCUCAAUGAUGAACAGAUUAGCACAGCGCACCAUCGAGCCACAGCCAGGAAGUGGCCUGAAACCUCAUGCAGGACCUGAGCAACCCAAGCAGGGUCCCGCCGUCCCUCACUUCCGGAUGACACAGAGGGAGAUGAAGUUGAAGCAGACAGCCCACGAGCCUGUGGUCAUGUCAUCCUCAGGCUCCCAGACGACUACGCUGCAGAGCUGGAUUCCCUGGAAACCCAAGGCCAUCUACCCUACUGUCUUUUUGCUGCACCCUGUGGGGCAUUUUCCACGUUCGUCAGACUUCUCGACAAACUCAUUCCUUUCCGGCUUUCACAAGUGGAGCUGCCCGACCCUCUUCCUCAAGGGAAAAAGCACACUUUCCCUGGGUGUACCUAGAAGGUGAAUGUACCACAUUCCUAGAUCAUCACUAAAUGCCGAAAAACAGAUGAGCUUAAAGGAAAAAGUUGUGAUUUUACAACACAACCCAAACUGAGAGUGGAAAGACAGGUCUGAAAAAGGAAGGGGUACAUACACCAUUAUGUGUUCACAAUAAACAACAUUGAAAGGAAGUAUUUAUUGAGAGAAAGAUAGCUCUGUCUAAAAGAAACAGAAGGAGUCCUGGAGAGAGGGUUGUCAGCAGAUCUCACUUCUCAAGGGAGUUUAUAGAGCAAAACCACGAGCACUAUAGAUCACUAUGGCCAGGCCUAACUUGCCUCCUCCCACGGAUGAGGCAGGGACUUGUGGGAGGAGAACAGGUGACAAGAGGGCAUGGUGGAGCAAGGCCUGGCUGAGAAGAGGACUGUUUUCCUGCCCAUUCAUCAGAAAACCAUCAAGCAUGAUGUCCUGCAGAUCUUAGGUACUCUCCUGGCUCUAGUUACAGACCAGCC